rnacentral:rRNA from 1 species
AGCUCCAAUAGCGUAUCUUAAAGUUGCUGCAGUUAAAAAGCUCGUAGUUGGAUCUCGGGAUCGAGCUGACGGUCCGCCGCGAGGCGAGCUACCGUCUGUCCCAGCCCCUGCCUCUCGGCGCCCCCUCGAUGCUCUUAGCUGAGUGUCCCGCGGGGUCCGAAGGUUCUACUUUGUGGGUUUUCUUCUCUGAACUGGGGCCAUGAUUAAGAGGGACGGCCGGGGGCAUUCGUAUUGUGCCGCUAGAGGUGAAAUUCUUGGACCGGCGCAAGACGGACGAAAGCGAAAGCAUUUGCCAAGAAUGUUUUCA